UUGGAUUCAAAUACGAUGAACACAGUACGGAUGUAUGAACUACGGUUCAACCUGUCCGAGAGCGCAAAACCCCAUGUGGAUGCUUCCGUUGCCUUCCUUCUGACCCUCCU
rnacentral:snoRNA from 1 species